rnacentral:lncRNA from 1 species
CCCGGCCUCCUCCUCCUUCUCAAGGGCAACAGCAACGCCGUGGUCCUCCUCCUCCUCCUCCGCCUCCACGACGGCCGCUGGCUCCAGCUUCAGCUUCAGGUCGAUGGUCUCGGCGAAGCCCCUCUUGCCGGAGGCGGAGGAAGAGCUCCUCCCCUCGCCGCCCAGCGCCGGCUCCCCUCCACCUCCCCCGCCGGGCAGGCCCAGGCGGAGCUCCGUCGCCUCGAACCCCAGGUCCGUCGUCGUCGCCAUCGCGGCUGCCGUCGUCGCCACGUCCUCGCCUCUCUCUCAAUUCUGCUUGGCUUGCUUCUUCUUCGUCUGUUAGCUGCCUAGC